rnacentral:misc_RNA from 1 species
CAACCCUUAAGCCCUGUUGCUUAGCGUUGGGAGCCCGCCGGCCCUGGGCCUGCAGCUCCUCAAAGUUAGUGGCGGAGUUAGCGUAUACUCUAGGCGUAGUAAUUUACAUCUCGCCUCUGUGGUUGCGCUGGCGCCUGCCGUAAAACACCCAACUUUAAACU